rnacentral:rRNA from 1 species
UACGAAGGGGGCUAGCGUUGUUCGGAAUCACUGGGCGUAAAGGGCGCGUAGGCGGCUUGAUAAGUCGGGGGUGAAAGGCCUGACUGGGCUCAACCCUACGAGAAUUGCCUUCGAUACUGAUCGAGCUUGGAGACCGGGAAUCGAGGUAAGUGGGAACUGACGAGUGUAGAGGUGAAAAUUCGUAGAUAGUUCGCAGGAACACCAGUCGGCGAA